rnacentral:rRNA from 1 species
UCCUACUUGGAUAACUGUGGUAAUUCUAGAGCUAAUACAUGCACUAAAGCUCUGACCUUCACCGGGAAGAGUGCAUUUAUUAGAACAAAACCAAGCGGCUUCGGCUGUUUUCGGCUGACUCAUAGUAACUGAGCUGAUCGCAUGGUCUUGCACCGGCGACGUGUCUUUCGAGUAUCUGCCGUAUCAACUUUCGAUGGUAGUGUAUCUGACUACCAUGGUGAUCACGCGUAACGGAGAAUAAGGGUUCGACUCCGGAGAGUUCGCCUGAGAAAUCGCGAACACAUCUAAGGAAGGCAGCAGGCGCGAAAAUUACCCACUCUCAGCACGAGGAGGUAGUGACGAAAAAUAACGAGACCGUUCUCUUAUGAGGCCGGUCAUCGGAAUGGGUACAAUUUAAACCCUUUAACGAGUAUCUAUUGGAGGGCAAGUCUGGUGCCAGCAGCCGCGGUAAUUCCAGCUCCAAUAGCGUAUAUUAAAGUUGUUGCGGUUAAAACGCUCGUAGUUGGAUCUGCGGCCUCGGAGAACGGUCCCCCGAAAGGGUGGUCACUGUCUCUCCUAGCCUAAAUUCGAGUCGUCUCUAGGUGCUCUUUACCGAGUGCUUAGAGUGACUAGAACGUUUACUUUGAAAAAAUUAGAGUGCUUAAAGCAGGCGAAAUAGCCUGAAUAAGGUGCAUGGAAUAAUGGAAUAGGACCUCGGUUCUAUUUUGUUGGUUUUCGGAACCCGAGGUAAUGAUUAAGAGGAACAGACGGGGGCAUUCGUAUUCCGGCGCUAGAGGUGAAAUUCUUGGACCGCCGGAAGACGGACGACUGCGAAAGCAUUUGCCAAGAAUG